UGCCAGCAGCCGCGGUAAUACGGAGGAUGCGAGCGUUAUCCGGAUUUAUUGGGUUUAAAGGGUGCGUAGGUGGCCUGUUAAGUCAGCGGUGAAAGGUUAGAGCUCAACUCUGACAUUGCCGUUGAAACUGGCGGGCUUGAGUGUAGAUGAGGUAGGCGGAAUUUGUGGUGUAGCGGUGAAAUGCAUAGAUAUCACGAGGAACUCCGAUUGCGAAGGCAGCUUACUAAGGUACAACUGACACUGAAGCACGAAAGCGUGGGUAUCAAACAGGAUUAGAUA
rnacentral:rRNA from 1 species